AUUUGAAUAGGGUUUCAGACCAGGGCCGUAGGGACCUAUUUGAAUAGGGUUUCAGACCAGGGCCGUAGGGACCUAUUGGAAUAGGGUUUCAGACUGUUGGAACUAGUAACAUAAGCAUUUUGCUGCACCUGCUAUAACACUUCCAAAUCUGUGCAAGCAACCAAUACACUUUGGUUGAUUUGGAAAGUAGUGCACUAUAAUAGGGAAUAGGGUUCCAUAGGGCCCUGGUCUAAAGUAGUUCACUAUAUAUAGGGAAUAGGGUGCCAUAGGGCUCUGGUCUAUAGUAGUGCCCUAUAUAGGGAAUAGGGUGCCAUAGGGCUCUGGUCUAUAGUAGUGCCCUAUAUAGGGAGCCGUUUCAGGCGCUGCCAGAGUCUUCAAAGCCCAUGUCCCCCAGAGGGUUUCUGAAGGGUAGGUCCAGGAGUUUUUCCUGACCCCUCUGUAACCUGCAGGAUAAACUCUAUGCCAUAGAACGGACCUCCCAAUUCAAGUCAAUAAUGGCAUACUGGGUGUAGAGGUUCCAUUUUUAUAUUCCAGGCCUGACCGAUAAAGAGCUGUUGGCUAUAUGUUUUCCUUUUUCAAAUCUCUCAUCUAUGACCUCUAGGUGUUUCAAACCUGUCUUCUACAACCUCUAGGUGUUAUAAACCUCUCCUCUACAACCUCUAGGUGUUGUAAACCUCUCAUCUAUGACCUCUAGGUGUUGUAAACCUCUCCUCUACAACCUCUAGGUGUUAUAAACCUCUCCACAACCUCUAGGUGUUUCAAACCUCUCCAGGACCUCUAGGUGUUUCAAACCUCUCCAGGACCUCUAGGUGUUUCAAACCUUUCUAGGACCUCUAGGUGUUUCAAACCUUUCUAGGACCUCUAGGUGUUUCAAACCUCUCCUCUAGGUGUUCCAAACCUCUCCUCUAGGACCUCUUGUUGCAGCCCUGACCUAGCACACUUGAUUCAAAUAGUCAAGGGCUUGAUGAUUGGUUGACAAGUUGAAUCAGGUGUUCUAGCUCUGGAAUAGUUCAAAUACAUGGAACGGCUGGAGAACCCAGAGGAGAGGUUUGAGAACGGCUGGAGAACCCAGAGGAGAGGUUUGAGAAUGGCUGGAGAACCCAGAGGAGAGGUUUCAGAACGGCUGGAGAACCCAGAGGAGAGGUUUGAGAACGGCUGGAGGUCCCAGAGGAGAGGUUUGAGAACGGCUGGAGAACCCAGAGGAGAGGUUUGAGAACGGCUGGAGAACCCAGAGGAGAGGUUUGAGAACGGCUGGAGAACCCAGAGGAGUGGUUUGAGAACGGCUGGAGGUCCCAGAGGAGAGGUUUGAGAACGGCUGGAGGUCCCGGGGGAGAGGUUUGAGAACGGCUGGAGGUCUCGGAGGAGAGUUUUGGAACGGCUGGAGAACCCGGAGGAGAGGUUUGGAAAAGGCUGAGCUAUAUGUUUGCCAAACAACUUUACAUGUCUGUUUCACACACAGGAAGGUAUUGCAGUUGAAUCACAAUUCAUGUUGAUUAAAACAAAUGAUAAUGAAAGAUUUGUAUUUCUGUGUGUAGUAACCAGGUAUUAUUAUUGUGUACUGUGUUAGUUUAGAGGUGUUACAGAGUGAAAGAUGGGGGUAACAGGAAGAGGAGGAGUCGAAGAGCAAUGGGCUGGAUGACAGGAAGGGGAGGAGUCAUAGGGCAGUGGGCUGGAUGACAGGAAGAGGAGGAGUCAUAGGGCAGUGGGCUGGAUGACAGGAAGAGGAGGAGUCAUAGGGCAGUGGGCUGGAUGACAGGAAGAGGAGGAGUCAGGGCAGUGGGCUGGAUUCAAACCCUUAUACCAAUAAAUGGCAAUACUGCCUCGAUAUGGGCAGCAAGACGGCCGUUAGACCCGAUGAGGCGUUUCUACUCAUGAGCUUAGCUAGACAUUGUCACCAUGACAUCACCGACUAGUGUGAUCGAGGAUUUCUAUUGGAGAAGCAGUUCCUGCCUACCUUCCUACUGUACUGUCUUUGAGAUGAUGGUGGAGGUUCCUGUCUGUAAGUGUGUGUUUCCUCUCACAUGAACAUGCUUUCCCCACGUGUGAUCCUCUGUAAUAUCUGACGUGUUCACACAGCAGAGGGAACAGCUGGCUCUGGUCCAUUUAGUGCCCCCCCUCCCCACUAAAUAGGGAAUAUAGUGGAAUUUGGUUCUUGUGUAAAAUGGUACUUACUUUACUG
ensembl:lncRNA